rnacentral:misc_RNA from 1 species
UUUUUACAUUAUAUCGUGAUCAUUUGGAAAGAAGUGAUCUGAUAAGCUCUUGUAAGAAUUUGAUAAGUUUUAGAUGGUUUUUUAUACAAUGUUAUUUAGUUUUAAUUUCAAUAUAUUAAUAGUUGAUGUUAGUUUAAUUCAUUAAGUUUGAGCUGUGCAUGUGUAACAAUUGGUGCAUCAUGAUGACCCAAUUAGAAUUAUGGUAGUUUAUGGUGAAACUAUUUUAGAACAUAUCUAUUUGAAAAAAAACAAACUUGUGUUUUAGAAAUGAUGUACCAUUAAUCAUACCAGGAGUCAUUUACUUAUGUAUAUAUCAAUGUGAAAGUAGGUCAUGGUGACCUUAAUUUAUAUUUAGCAUGUUGUUAAUCCUAUGUGUUUGUUAAUGGGGUGUAAGCACAUUUCUCACACUAAGUAUCUCUGUUGACCAGAUAGAUAGGACAACUCAAGUUAAUGUCAUUUAUUUGGAGAAAUAUUGUACGCAAGUUUAAGCGUGAUUAUGGUUUUUAUGUUUACGCACACAUUUAUAACUUAUAUACAUUGUUUUUGUUGUUUUUUUUAUUGUGUUUACUCUUACCAUGAAAAACAUAAUACUUGUAUACAAAUGAUGUUUGGGGAAAUGUAGCGAGCUGUAGAUAAAAGUCAAUAAACUUAAAGUGACAUGU